GAUGAACGCUGGCGGCGUGCCUAACACAUGCAAGUCGAACGAAGCACCUUACCUGAUUCUUCGGAUGAAAGUUUGGUGACUGAGUGGCGGACGGGUGAGUAACGCGUGGGUAACCUGCCCUGUACAGGGGGAUAACAGCUGGAAACGGCUGCUAAUACCGCAUAAGCGCACGAGGAGACAUCUCCUUGUGUGAAAAACUCCGGUGGUACAGGAUGGGCCCGCGUCUGAUUAGCUGGUUGGCAGGGUAACGGCCUACCAAGGCAACGAGCAGUAGCCGGUCUGAGAGGAUGAACGGCCACAUUGGAACUGAGACACGGUCCAAACUCCUACGGGAGGCAGCAGUGGGGAAUAUUGCACAGUGGGGGAAGCCCUGAUGCAGCAGCGCCGCGUGAGUGAAGAAGUAUUUCGGUAUGUAAAGCUCUAUCAGCAGGGAAGAUAAUGACGGUACCUGACUAAGAAGCUCCGGCUAAAUACGUG
rnacentral:rRNA from 1 species